rnacentral:rRNA from 1 species
UACGGGGGGAGCAAGCGUUGUUCGGAUUUAUUGGGCGUAAAGGGCGCGUAGGCGGCGCAACAAGUCACUUGUGAAAUCUCCGGGCUUAACUCGGAGCGGCCAAGUGAUACUGUCGUGCUAGAGUGCGGAAGGGGCAACUGGAAUUCUCGGUGUAGCGGUGAAAUGCGUAGAUAUCGAGAGGAACACCUGCGGCGAAGGCGGGUUGCUGGGCCGACACUGACGCUGAGGCGCGAAAGCCAGGGGAGCGAACGGG